rnacentral:rRNA from 1 species
UACGUAGGCAGCAAGCGUUGUUCGGAAUUACUGGGCGUAAAGAGUGUGUAGGCGGUGUUCUAAGUUUGUCGUGAAAUCUCCCGGCUUAACUGGGAGGGUGCGGCGAAAACUGGAAUGCUAGAGGAUGGGAGAGGUAAGCGGAAUUCCUGGUGUAGCGGUGAAAUGCGUAGAUAUCAGGAGGAACACCUGUGGUGUAGACAGCUUACUGGACCAUUUCUGACACUGAGGCGCGAAAGCGUGGGGAGCAAACAGG